rnacentral:rRNA from 1 species
UAGGGAAUCUUCCGCAAUGGGCGAAAGCUUGACGGAGCAACGCCGCGUGAGUGAUGAAGGUCUUCGGAUCGUAAAACUCUGUUAUUAGGGAAGAACAAAUGUGUAAGUAACUAUGCACGUCUUGACGGUACCUAAUCAGAAAGCCACGGCUAACUACGUGCCAGCAGCCGCGGUAAUACGUAGGUGGCAAGCGUUAUCCGGGAUUAUUGGGCGUAAAGCGCGCGUAGGCGGUUUUUUAAGUCUGAUGUGAAAGCCCACGGCUCAACCGUGGAGGGUCAUUGGAAACUGGAAAAGUUGAGUGCAGAAGAGGAAAGUGGAAUUCCAUGUGUAGCGGUGAAAUGCGCAGAGAUAUGGAGGAACACCAGUGGCGAAGGCGACUUUCUGGUCUGUAACUGACGCUGAUGUGCGAAAGCGUGGGGAUCAAACAGG